CAGUCUUGCAGUGCAUGCACUGAUCAUUUGGCGAUGCAGGCAUGCCAUCCAGCUGUUUCCUCUCAGUUUUAGUUUCCAGCCAUCACUUGGAGCUGAAGAGUGACAACCUGCCACAUGCAAAAUCAAUCAGUAGGAGUUGGAACUGAAAGUAUGGGAGAACUCACCCGAGCCUGAGAGAUGUAUCAGAGCUGUAGUCGUUGUCGGGUGGAGGUCGCGGGUAAGAAGCAUUGGUGACAGAUUCAGACGACUGCCCUUCCUCGUACACGAUUUCUGAAUCAGGCCCAGGCUGCAUCUCCUCCAUUCUUGACAUCCUGGACACCUGCAGCUUCAGAUCGUCGUUUAAUCAAAUGAACGAGCAGAGCAAGCAUAGAGAGAAAGUUUUCUUUUUAGAUAAUGGAAAAUGGUUCACAUCUCCGAGCCUCUGUCGAGUUUCGACAGGGCAGAUAAAAUUAAGGCUGCAUUUCAGUUUCGCUCUGUAGCUGUGUACUGAAGCUGGAGAUUGGCCAAAAUAUCAUGCUCUUACCUUUCGUUCCAGUCCAUCGAUCUCAUCCAGAAUUUUCUUGCUCUGAAGAAGAACAUGAUCAAAGAUCACGGUGUGCAACAUUGCAACUACGUACGUCCAAUGGACAGUCUCAUGUUGCUGCGC